rfam:Gossypium hirsutum cultivar TM-1 chromosome 16, whole genome shotgun sequence
ACGCGUAAGAACCUGCCCUUGGGAGGGGAACAACAGCUGGAAAUGGCUGCUAAUACCCUAUAGGCUGAGGAGCAAAAGGAGGAAUCCGCUCGAGGAGGGGCUCGUGUCUAAUUAGCUAGUUGGUGAGGCAAUAGCUUACCAAGGCGAUGAUCAAAGGAAAAUUAGCGAAACUUAAUUU